ACGGAAGGCAGCAGUGGGGAAUAUUGCACAAUGGGGGAAACCCUGAUGCAGCAACGCCGCGUGAGUGAUGAAGUGCCUUGGCAUGUAAAGCUCUAUCAGCAGGGAAGAAAAUGACGGUACCUGACUAAGAAGCCCCGGCUAACUACGUGCCAGCAGCCGCGGUAAUACGUAGGGGGCAAGCGUUAUCCGGAUUUACUGGGUGUAAAGGGUGCGUAGGUGGUAUGGUAAGUCAGAAGUGAAAACCCAGGGCUUAACCUUGGGAUUGCUUUUGAAACUAUCAAACUAGAGUACAGGAGGGGUAAGCGGAAUUCCUAGUGUAGCGGUGAAAUGCGUAGAUAUUAGGAAGAACACCAGCGGCGAAGGCGGCUUACUGGACUGUAACUGACACUGAGGCACGAAAGCGUGGGGAGCAAACAGGAUUAGAUACCCUGGUA
rnacentral:rRNA from 1 species